rnacentral:lncRNA from 1 species
GUUAAAACUUCUUCUGUCUAUGUACAUCAUUGAUGUAUCUAUGCAAAAAACAUAUACACCAAUGAUUACGGUGUACAAUGUGACAAUACAACAAUCAGCACCCUUUUCUUCUAUCCUCUUCUAUCUAUGUUGAUCUACCGUACAACAAACAACAUACAAUACAACAAAAAUGUCAACACAAGGUCAGUUUUAUCAAUACAACAAUCUGUAUACAAGGUAAACUCUAUCUAUCUUGUUCUGUCUAUCUUCCACUCGUAUAAAAAGUUGCAGUUCUGCACACAAUGUCAAAGAAAAAAUAGCAACUCAUUGUUAUUCACACGACAGCAGAAGGUCGCAUCAUUCAUACAGCAAUAGCAAUACAGAGUAUCCUCUUCUUUACUGCCUAAUUCUUCAUCAGCUUCCACAACUUAUCAGAGCACCGUUAUUCUCUAGACGAUGCUGAUGAUUCGGUAAGAAGAAGCAUGGGUUCCCCUCAGACAACCCUACAAUAAAAAUUUGAAAUAAGCCAAGAUAAGUUCUGAUGAACCCUGUGAAAAGAUCAAUUGUAAGUUUAGAUAGUUGGAGAAAGCAGCUCCACACGACUACUUGUCAUUUGAACCAGAUUGCAGAUCAUGUGGCUUUGAAGGUAAAAUGGAACUAAAGAAAUACGGUAGCAAACAGCUUAUAGCUAAAUUUGACUUCUCCAUUCAGCUUAAGAAAUAAGUGCCAAAUCAGACUUGGAUGCAUCUAUUAACAAAUUGACUUGCCUUUUAUUUCCUAGGCUAUACCGCAGGAACUCUUUGAGCUGAAUAGAAAAUUUUACUAACCUAGAAACAAAACCAUAACAUUAGUGCUUUAAUUGCCCUUAAGAAUAAAAGAAAAAUAAAGGACAUUGAAACUAAAUGUCAAAUCUGGAUAGAAAUAUAUAGAAUACUCUCACUGUUAUAGCACAGCAAUUUCUACACUGAAUGGUCUUGAAACAAAUCAAUUUAUGCACUGAGAAGUUCAUAUAGUGAGGCAUAUAAUGAAGAUCUGUAUAUUUGUAGGUUGUAGCAACCAGUGGCAGUUCAACCAGCUUGUAUGACCAUGAAAAAUAUUAAGUAUAAAAGUGAUUUGUUGCAACCAAAUGGAGUUUUCCAACGUUGGUUGCAAACGUUUGGACAAGUUUCAGUUUAGUAAAGCUUACCGUGUAGUUAAGACUGCACGUAUGGUGCAUACUACUGUCAUUCUCACCACACAUUCAUCAUUGGUUUGGUACUGGGAGAACAAAGGAAGAACUCUAAAAUUAGGCAGCCGCUGUCACUAAUGACCGAUCCACACACCGGAUUCAUAACCGUGGAAGAUAAACAACACAACAAAGUAGCGAAGGCAUUAGUAUUCAUAUUCCAACCCAGCAUCCGUGAGAUCACAUCCAUCUUAAUCUUAGUACUCGAUAUAGACUUGCAUUUAUUUCAGAUGUAUGUUUGUGCCAAACCAUUUAAGCUGGAUGAAAAAAAUCAAGAGAAAAAAUUGUAGUCCUCCAGAAAGUAGAAAGAACCGAUGGUACUUCUAACCAGGGGAACUUAAUUCUUAAUAUACACUUAAUAUACAAGCAAGAAUCAUUACUGAAAGGACCAUAGAGAUGAGGUAAUAUAAACUGAAUGCAGUGAGCCUCAAUUUUACAAAUACACACCGAAUCUUAGCAUUGUACUACUGAAGAACCUUGAUGCUUGCAGAACACACAAACUCAUUCUCCCCAAACUUUGCAGUCUUGGAACAACAAAACCCAUGGUACCCAGCAGCUGCGCAAAGAACGGACAAGCAACAUAUCACCUUGCUGAUUACUGCACCAAAAUACGCGGCAGAUCAGAAAAAUCCUGAAGAAAUGGGAUUUGGAGAGAGAGACAUCGUGACGGAGGACAGGAGCAUGGCUUGGUGAGGGAGAAGACGGCGGCACACUUAGUGCAGGAUGAUGGACAGCGGCGAUGCUCCAGCUGGGCGUGGUCUAGGCGACUGUGGCGAGAUGAGUUCCUCGGGAUGGAUGCGUGGGAUGAGGGGAUGGAUCACGCUUGUAAGGAACGUAUCAAUGCCGCGCUGAGCGAGCUUGCCGUGCAGCUCAUGGAGGCGACCGACCUCGCGCGCCGUGCCACCUCGGCCGCGAGCUGGAACGUCCACCGCACCGUGCAUCUGGCGCGCAGGAUGGAGGCAGCUAACAAGGGCAUCGACGGCGUACGACGCGGGUCGACGAG